UGGCGGCGUGCCUAAUACAUGCAAGUCGAGCGGUAAAUUUAUUGGUGCUGCACCUCUAAAUUUAGCGGCGGACGGGUGAGUAACACGUGGGUAACCUACCUUAUAGAUUGGGAUAACUCCGGGAAACCGGGGCUAAUACCGAAUAAUACUUUUUAACACAUGUUCUGAAGUUGAAAGACGGUUUCGGCUGUCACUAUAAGAUGGACCCGCGGCGCAUUAGCUAGUUGGUGAGGUAACGGCUCACCAAGGCAACGAUGCGUAGCCGACCUGAGAGGGUGAUCGGCCACACUGGGACUGAGACACGGCCCAGACUCCUACGGGAGGCAGCAGUAGGGAAUCUUCCACAAUGGACGAAAGUCUGAUGGAGCAACGCCGCGUGAGUGAAGAAGGAUUUCGGUUCGUAAAACUCUGUUGCAAGGGAAGAACAAGUAGCGUAGUAACUGGCGCUACCUUGACGGUACCUUGUUAGAAAGCCACGGCUAACUACGUGCCAGCCGCUGC
rnacentral:rRNA from 1 species